AUGAAGGCUGGAUGCUUAGGAUUUGUUGGUCAGACCGAGGUUUUAAACUCUGGUUGUGGCUGCAGUUAUGCUGUGAUCCUUGAUAUUGUUGAUAAAUGCAACGGAAUGUGGUUGAUGCUGCUGCGAUGCAUUUGCGAAGGCCUCGAAAACCUUCAUAUUGCAGCUGCAUUGCAUUUUCAAAGGCCUCCAAAACCUAUAUAUUGUGGCUGUGACGCAUUGGCCAAGGCCUCCAAAACAUUUAUAUUGCGGCUGCCAUCGUGGUUGUUGACCGUAAUGUCAAACUAUGGCUGA